rnacentral:tRNA from 1 species
GUUUAUAUAGUUUAUUAAAAACACUAGAUUGUGAACCUAGAAA